CAGGCUGCAACUCGCCUGCAUGAAGUCGGAAUUGCUAGUAAUCGUAGGUCAGCAUACUACGGUGAAUACGUUCCCGGGCCUUGUACACACCGCCCGUCAAACCAUGAGAGUUGGCAACACCCGAAGUCGGUAGUCUAACCGCAAGGAGGACGCCGCCGAAGGUGGGGUUGAUGAUUGGGGUGAAGUCGUAACAAGGUACC
rnacentral:rRNA from 1 species